AACCAGUACCGUGAGGGAAAGGUGUAAAGCACCCCGGAAGGGGAGUGAAAUAGUACCUGAAACCGUGCGCUUACAAGCAGUCAGAGCCCGUUAAUGGGUGAUGGCGUACUUUUUGUAGAACGGACCGGCGCGUUACGAUUGCAUGCAAGGUUAAGUUGAAGAAACGGAGCCAUAGCGAAAGCGAGUCUGAAUAGGGCGUCGAGUAUGUAGUCGUAUACCCGAAACCAAGUGACCUACCCAUGUGCAGGGUGAAGGUGCGGUAAAACGCACUGGAGGCCCGAACCCACGUCUGUUGAAAAAGGCGGGGAUGACGUGUGGGUAGCGGAGAAAUUCCAAUCGAACUUGGAGAUAGCUGGUUCUCUCCGAAAUAGCUUUAGGGCUAGCCUCGGAUGAUGAAUAU
rnacentral:rRNA from 2 species